UUCUGGUAGGAUGUAUGCCUAUCAUUAGUUCUAAACACUGGUGAGGUUUUGAGGGAAAAUGGCCGUGAUGAUUGGAAUUGCUUUAAGAGUUUCUUGGCUUUGUUGCCUGUUAAUUGGAGGGAUAACGUGUUCUACAUCAGGUGAUUGGUCUCCUGCACUGGGUUCUAAUGCAGCAUGGCUCUAUGCAGGAUCACUUAAGUCUGUAGGAUAUGGCAAUUCUAAGUCUCCAACA